ACCGCGACAGCUCAGUUGGCAGAGCAUCUGCCCGGCGUGCGGAGAUUCGCCGGUUCGAUUCCGGCUCGCGGCG
rnacentral:tRNA from 1 species